GUGAAUCAUCGAAUUUUUGAACGCAAAUUGCGCUUCCUGGCAUCCCGGGGAGUAUGCCUGUUUGAGGGUCAGUAUUAACAAAAAAUCGGUUUGUGUGCAAAUUGUGACGUUUCCUUAGUUUGUGCUAUCUUAACUUUUUUGGGUAAGGUGCUUAAAAUUUACCUUAUGUUCUCAGUUUGAGACGUACAUAAUUUUUUUUUUAUUCGUCUAUUCUUAAUGCCAAAGUCUUAUUAGAUGCGAUCACAUCGUGUUACUUCUUUUCCAUAAAAUUUUCAUGAUUUGACCUCAAUUCAGG
rnacentral:misc_RNA from 1 species